rnacentral:lncRNA from 1 species
GUGGGAUGUGUGCUAGAGGAGUGCGAGAGGAGGGGUGUGUGUAAAUGGAAUGUGUCAGGGCUCUAAUUUGGUAUGGAGCUAUUUCACACUGGGCUGCAGCAUGCUGCAGACUGGUGAAUAACUACUGUGGUGGUGAGAUCAUACACUCUGACUGGAACAACUGAUCUAGGAUAAGUGAGCCCGGUGCAGACUGAUGUCUGCUCCAGCACUGUGAAAAGGACAACUGAACCUUUUCAGUCAGGAUCUACGCUCUCUACUCACAUCAUCACAUAGGUAAAGGAAUGGAAUGGACAGCAGACGGCAGAGAGUCCCUUGAGCUGAUGAGAGUGACACCAGCGCUUCCCCAGGGCUCCAGGGAUGCUGUCCCAGCACAUAGUAAAGAUGCCACAUUCCACACAGGAGAAUCAAUCUGAAGGUGGAAACUAAGGAGUUAGGCUGGCUGAAGUAAUGUAAUGCAUCCCAUAUGUAGGCAUUCCUGCACUGUUCUGCCUGCUCUGACUCUGGUCCCUGUCUCCCUGACUUCUCGUCAGUCCUGCUACUCUGCCCUGGAUUCCCCACUCUAUGCUCCCUUCAAUUCCCCUCCGGACCUGCUUACCCUGUCCCAACACCUCUCGCUCCAGCCUCAGCCUCCGCACCUGGUUUCCGGCAACCCGCCCGAGCUUCCCCUGGCCCGCACUCAAUCUUCCCCCCGUGCUUCAAUAAAUACCUUGGUUACCUCAUCCCAGUCUCCUCGUGUGAGUCUGCUCUUGGGUUCAGCUGUUCCGCUCCGUGUGACACUCCUAUAAGUGCAGAGGAGGCGGAGAGGGCCCUGUCUGAGCAUGUGUAUAUUAAGAUGUAUAUUAUGGGCAUGAUUAAAAUCGGUUUAUUUCUCAGAACAUUGUUUUACCGUCAUUCAUGCAGGGCUACAACUGCUUAUGUACACUUUGCAGAAAGCUAGUAAGGUAGGGAGGGCAGCAGAAAUGGACUGGCCAUUGGGCCGUUCGGGAAAAGGUCAGAUGGGCUGGUCCAUAUGUAGCUCAGUGGGCCUGUCUAAAUUGUUGUUUUGUGUGUGUAUCAGACCUGGGAUAACUACAGAUUUUAAUAUGCUUCGUGAG